UUGGCGGCAUUGUGUAUUGUGCUUCGUUAAAUUUAUAAUUGUGAAUUGUAUUGUUGUUUAAUUGCUUGAAAAUGUUAAUAGUCGCGAAGUAUUUGAGUUUAUUUGUGUAGUGUUAUUAGAAGUAUCGAGAAUAACGUAUGUUUAACGUAAUUAAAGUGUUUUUCUUGUGCUGGAAUUAAAUUUUUCGUGUGUGCAAAAAAAUAAGGAAGCAAAGUGCGCAGCAGAAAAAAAGGUGACAAUACGUGCGACAAGGAUGGCAGCACAUUCGCGUGGAUCAUCAACUUUAUCAACUUAACUACGAAAACAACAUCGACUUUCCAGCGUUUAAAAGCAUUUUUGACUGCUGUGACAACUGUUGCUGCUGCUGCUGCCGCUGUUGCUGUUGCUGCAGUUGUCUCCCCAUAUUUGGAGCGGGGGAACAAGACUCUCAACGUACAGCGUGCAACUCGAAGCUCGCGUGAUGGCAACGGGGGCGCACAUUGCACAUAACAUAACGAACUCACAACUGGCAACUUGCAACUGGCAACGGGAAUCUGUCGAGGCGUUAAAUUUCAUGUCUCUCUCUACUCGAUGUCGAGGUGGAUGCCACAAAAGUGCAGUCCUUGUGGUCGCUUGCUGGCUUGUUGCUGCCCCCGAGGCCCGCCACGUUAAUGGAAAUUAAUCACAAAUACAACAGCAAUUUGUUUGAAUGCGAAUGUGUUUUGUUAUUUUAAUGGGAAUGCGAAUGGAGGCAGACAUGCGAUGCUGAUGUUGAUUUAAAUGCUGAUUAUGAUUUCGAUUGUGAUGCUGAUUUCGA